rnacentral:misc_RNA from 1 species
CAGAGUUGCAAAACUCCCACAAACCAUCGCGAAUCUUACCCGUACGGUUGCCUCGGCGCUGGCGGUCUGGAGGCCUUCGGGCCCCCGGACCCUCGGGUCUCCCUCACGGGAGGCUGCCCGCCGGAGUGCCGAAACCAAACUCUUGAUAUUUUAUGUCUCUCUGAGUAAACUUUUAAAUAAGUCA